rnacentral:rRNA from 1 species
AUUGAACGCUGGCGGCGUGCUUAACACAUGCAAGUCGAGCGGUAACAGGUGUAGCAAUACAUGCUGACGAGCGGCGAACGGGUGAGUAAUGCUUCGGAAUCUGCCCAGUAGUGGGGAAUAGCGUAGGGAAACUUACGCUAAUACCGCAUACGAACUACGGUUGAAAGCAGGGGAUCGCAAGACCUUGCGCUAUUGGAUGAGCCGAAGUCGGAUUAGCUAGUUGGUGAGGUAAAGGCUCACCAAGGCGACGAUCCGUAGCUGGUCUGAGAGGACGACCAGCCACACUGGGACUGAGACACGGCCCAGACUCCUACGGGAGGCAGCAGUGGGGAAUAUUGGACAAUGGGGGCAACCCUGAUCCAGCGACGCCGCGUGUGUGAAGAAGGCCUGCGGGUUGUGAAGCACUUUUAGUGGGGACAAAAAGCCGACGGCUAAUACCUUUCGGUCUUGAUUUAACCCAAAGAAAAAGCACCGGCUAACUCUGUGCCAGCCGCCGCGGUAAGAC